GCGUUGGUGGUCCAAAGCAAGACGCCCCGCUUCCUGCGGGGAAAUGCAGGUGCGAGACCUGCCCAGCGCUCCA
rnacentral:tRNA from 1 species